rnacentral:rRNA from 1 species
CAGCCGCCGCGGUAAUACCGGCGGCCCGAGUGGCGGUCACUAUUAUUGGGCUUAAAACGUCCGUAGCCGGGUUGGGAAGUCCUCCGGGAAAUCUGGCCGCUUAACGGUCAGAAUGCCGGAGGAUACUCCCAGCCUAGGGAGCGGGAGAGGCCGAGGGGAUUCCCGGAGUAGGGGGGAAAUCCUAUAAUCCCGGGAGGACCACCUGUGGCGAAGGCGCUCGGCUGGAACGCGUCCGACGGUGAGGGACGAAGGCCAGGGGAGCAAACCGGAUUAGAUACCCGGGUAGUCCUGGCUGUAAACGAUGCGGACUUUGUGUCGGACAAGCUAUGAGCUUGUCCGGUGCCGGAGGGAAACCGUUAAGUCCGCCGCCUGGGGAGUACGGCCGCAAGGCUGAAACUUAAAGGAAUUGGCGGG